rnacentral:tRNA from 1 species
GGGGCUGUAGCUCAGUGGCAGAGCGCUUGCCUUGCACGUGGGACGCACUAGGUUCAAUCCUCAGCACCA